rfam:Capsaspora owczarzaki ATCC 30864 unplaced genomic scaffold supercont2.2, whole genome shotgun sequence.
GAGCUCGUAGUAUAGUGGUAUUAUGCUCGCUUAGGGUGCGAGAGGUCGUGGGUUCAAUUCCCGCCGAGCUCC